GUCUCAGUUCAGAUUGCAGGCUGCAACUCGCCUGCAUGAAGUCGGAAUUGCUAGUAAUCGCGGAUCAGCAUGCCGCGGUGAAUACGUUCCCGGGCCUUGUACACACCGCCCGUCACACCAUGGGAGCCGGUAAUACCCGAAGUCAGUAGUCCAACCUCGUGAGGACGCUGCCGAAGGUAGGAUUGGCGACUGGGGUGAAGUCGUAACAAGGUAUC
rnacentral:rRNA from 1 species